CAGACGAUAGCUCAGCCGGAAGAGCUCUCACCUGCUAAGCGAGAGGUCGCAGGUUCAAGUCCUGCUCGUCUGG
rnacentral:tRNA from 1 species